UACGUAUGGGGCGAGCGUUGUUCGGAAUCAUUGGGCGUAAAGGGAGCGUAGGUGGGAUUUUAAGUCAGGUGUGAAAGGCCACGGCUCAACCGUGGGACUGCAUUUGAAACUGGAGUUCUAGAGUAUGGGAGAGGAAGACGGAAUUCCUGGUGUAGCGGUGAAAUGCGUAGAUAUCAGGAAGAACACCGGUGGCGAAGGCGGUCUUCUGGCCUAAUACUGACGCUGAUGCUCGAAAGCAUGGGGAGCAAACGGG
rnacentral:rRNA from 1 species